rnacentral:rRNA from 1 species
UACGAAGGGGGCUAGCGUUGUUCGGAAUUACUGGGCGUAAAGGGCGCGUAGGCGGCUUCGAUAGUCGGGCGUGAAAUGCCUGGGCUCAACCCAGGAACUGCGCUCGAAACUCCGAGGCUAGAGUGUGGGAGAGGAUAGUGGAAUUCCCAGUGUAGAGGUGAAAUGCGCAGAUAUCAGGAAGAACACCCGUGGCGAAGGCGGCUCUCUGGAACGCAACUGACGCUGAGACGCGAAAGCGUGGGGAGCAAACAGG